CCGCCGCCAGGGGCGUCGUCAGGGAGCGGCGACGGGGGAGCCGACAGCCGGGCGGACAGGCCGAUGGACGGAGGCGAGGUCCGGCGUUGCUGACUGGCCACAAGUGUUCUGAGGUCUUCGUUCGAGGAACAGCCGCGAACAGCGACGGUUCCGGAUGUGAACAGGACGGGGCUGCUGGGCACGUUGGAAAACAACGGGACUGGAUGCGUCCAACGCUGGCCCAUGCCGAGGCCGAGGGAUUAGUGAGGCAACACGAGACGUUAUCGCGCCUGCCGACAGUGCCAAGACUGGUUGGGGACCCGGAACUACGCGAGAAAUGUCCUUGAUGAUGUCAGUGCCCAAAGUAACAAUACACAAUAGAGGCCUCA